rnacentral:snRNA from 1 species
UUUCUGACAUGGGAAGAUCUCCAAGAUAAGAUAUUAAAUUUAAAACGCAUAAUUUGUGGUAGUGGGGGACUGUGUUCACACUUUCUCCUG